rnacentral:rRNA from 1 species
GACGAACGCUGGCGGCGUGCUUAACACAUGCAAGUCGAACGGAAAGGCCCUGCUUGCAGGGUACUCGAGUGGCGAACGGGUGAGUAACACGUGGGUGAUCUGCCCUGCACUUCGGGAUAAGCCUGGGAAACUGGGUCUAAUACCGGAUAGGAGCCAUUUUUAGUGUGAUGGUUGGAAAGUUUUUUCGGUGUAGGAUGAGCUCGCGGCCUAUCAGCUUGUUGGUGGGGUAAUGGCCUACCAAGGCGGCGACGGGUAGCCGGCCUGAGAGGGUGGACGGCCACAUUGGGACUGGGAUACAGCCCAGGCUCCUACGGGGGGGAGCAGUGGGGAAUAUUGCACAAUGGGCGCAAGCCUGAUGCAGCGACGCCGCGUGGGGGAUGACGGCCUUCGGGUUGGAAACUCCUUUCGCUAGGGACGAAGCUUUUUGUGACGGUACCUAGAGAAGAAGCACCGGCUAACUACGUG